UACGUAGGCAGCGAGCGUUGUUCGGAGUUACUGGGCGUAAAGAGCGCGCAGGCGGCUGGUCAAGUCCGAUGUGAAAUCUCCCGGCUCAACUGGGAAACUGCAUCGGAAACUGAUCGGCUUGAAGAUGGGAGAGGGUAGUGGAAUUCCCGGUGUAGUGGUGAAAUGUGUAGAGAUCGGGAGGAACACCGGGUGGCGAAGGCGGGUCUCUGGGCAAUUCCUGACGCUGAGGCGCGAAAGCGUGGGGAGCAAACGGG
rnacentral:rRNA from 1 species